GAUGAAGAACGUAGCGAAAUGCGAUACGUAAUGUGAAUUGCAGAAUUCAGUGAAUCAUCGAGUCUUUGAACGCACAUUGCGCCCCCUGGUAUUCCGGGGGGCAUGCCCGUCCGAGCGUCAUUGCUGCCCUCAAGCACGGCUUGUGUGUUGGGCCUCCGUCCUCCUCCCGGGGGACGGGCCCGAAAGGCAGCGGCGGCACCGCGUCCGGUCCUCGAGCGUAUGGGGCUUCGUCACCCGCUCUUGUAGGCCCGGCCGGCGCUUGCCGACACAUCAAUCUUUUUUCCAGGUUGACCUCGGAUCAGGUAGGGAUACCCGCUGAACUUAAGCAUAUCAAUAAGCGGAGGA
rnacentral:misc_RNA from 1 species